rnacentral:rRNA from 1 species
AUGGUGUCUGCUGGAGUUUUGAUCGAGGGUCAAGAGAUCCGUCUCGGCACUCUCACCUUCAUCGCCGACGACUCCGCAUGGCUCCAAGAGGCUCCGCUCGACGUUGAUGCGCUCCCCGUCCGCGGUGCGACGCAUUUCCGCGCAUGUGUCCGCGGCGUUCUGUUGCGGCAACCGUCGACCCAGUAUCGGUCGGUUCCUUCCACCCUCCCGGUCUCCCGCCAGCGCAAGCGCUCAGGUCGGUCGAGGCUUCAGCGAUGGGUGAGUCACGCGGUGGCUCGCCAGUCGACCACUACGCAAGUUGCGGCAAUCGAGCCCAACGAAUCUCUCUACGGCUUGUUCGAUCAGUCGACUGGCUCCGGAGAGACUGCAUCCGAAUGCGGAAGCAGUGAUCCAGCGGCGGAAAUCCUGAUGGUCAACGGGCCUCAUAGCCCUCCCGGCUUCGCCCGCGGUGGUGGAGCAGGCGACGGCGGCGACCCUGCUCGAGGUUACGAAGAGUACCAGCACGAGCCACUCGACUCUCUGCAAAGAGAAGAGCUUCGCCGCAGGAACGAGGAUCCCCUGCGUAUUCCUAUCGCAGGAGAAACCCCCGAGGCUCGCGCCUUGGAGGAGGCGCGUCUGGCCAAUUUGGCCGAGCGCACUCGACUGGAGAACCUUCAGCGAGCACUCGACGAGCGCGCGCGGCAACGAGUUCCCGACACCAGUCGACGUCAACUCUUCCCGCCGACUCAGGUAUAUCGAACCCCGAUUCAGAAUUUAGCAGCAGCGACCCGUAUAGCAGAGUCCAUUCAGCCUUCGCAGUCAGAAGCUGGCAGAGGUUUGCUGCAGAUCAGAGAUCUGCUCCGGGCAGCAGGAGAUCAGAAUUCAGCCGUGUCUCAGUCGCGCAACAGGAUUCACAGUCGAUCUGUCACUGUGAAUACGGUACAGUCGGCUCACAGCCCCAGAUCGCCUCCGCGGCGCGAAGGGUAUGAGCAUCGGCGAGAUCAAUAUGGCGACAGGCUCGCCCGAGAUGAUAGGCGUCGAGUGCCUUAUUCCCCUCCGAGGGGUGGGUCUUACGCUCUUCGGCAGCCAGAUGAUAGGCGUCAGUACAGUACAGGGUGUAGAGUUCCAGUUGACCCCAGGGAGCCAGGCUUCGACGCGCGAUCCAUUAUCGUGCAAGGGUUGGUCGACCGGAACAGAGCCCAUCGUGGUGCACUCGACAGAGAAGUGCCCACGAGCAGUCGAGUACAUGUUUCUGGCCCUGAAUGUUUCAGCAGAGCUAUCAGAGCCGCUAUUAUUCCCCCCAAUUUCAGGUUGGCGACAGGAGUCAGCAAGUUCACUGGUGAGUCUAAGCCUGAAACUUGGCUUGAAGACUACCGAGUGGCAGUUCAGAUCGGUGGUGGGAACGACGAGGUGGCCAUGAAGCAUUUGCCCCUCAUGUUGGAAGGUUCUGCCAGGGCAUGGUUGACCCAAUUACCUCCUAGCAGUAUCUACACUUGGGAAGAUCUGUCCCGAGUGUUCGUCAGAACGUUCGAAGGGACUUGCAAGCGACCAGCGGGAUUGACAGAGUUGCAAGUCUGCGUGCAGAAAACCAAUGAGACUCUCAGAGAGUAUAUUCAGAGGUGGAUCACUUUGCAUCACACAGUGGAAAAUGUCUCUGAUCAUCAGGCAGUGUGCGCCUUCAAAGAUGGCGUCAAGAACAGAGAACUCAGCUUGAAAUUUGGUCGAACCGGUGACAUGACCUUGAGUCGUAUGAUGGAGAUUGCUACCAAGUACGCCAACGGCGAAGAAGAAGACCGACUCCGAAGCGGCAAGCACAAGCCGAGUCAGUCGGAAAAAGGGAAUUCCAGUCGGAAACAGAAGCGGAAGGCUGAACUGGAGAGGCUCUGGCCGUGA